GUAUUUAUUAUAGACAGUGUGAGGGCAGACUAAGAGUUACUAGAGGUUAGUCAGUGUAUUUAUUAUAGACAGUGUGAGGGCCGACUAAGAGUUACUAGAGGUUAGUCAGUGUAUUUAUUAUAGACAGUGUGAGGGCAGACUAAGAGCUACUAGAGGUUAGUCAGUGUAUUUAUUAUAGACAGUGUGAGGGCAGACUAAGAGUUACUAGAGGUUAGUCAGUGUAUUUAUUAUAGACAGUGUGAGGGCAGACUAAGAGCUACUAGAGGUUAGUCAGUGUA